CAGCAGCCGCGGUAAUACGGAGGGAGCUAGCGUUGUUCGGAAUUAUUGGGCGUAAAGCGCACGUAGGCGGCUUGGUAAGUUAGAGGUGAAAGCCUGGAGCUCAACUCCAGAAUUGCCUUUAAGACUGCCGAGCUAGUAGGUGAGAGAGGUAAGUGGAAUUCCGAGUGUAGAGGUGAAAUUCGUAGAUAUUCGGAAGAACACCAGUGGCGAAGGCGGCUUACUGGCUCAUUCUAGACGCUGAGGUGCGAAAGCGUUGGGAGCAAACAGGAUUAGAUACCCGCGUAGUCCCUGUCUCUUAUAC
rnacentral:rRNA from 1 species